CGUGAGUGUUCGGGUUAAGUCCCGUAACGAGCGCAACCCUUGUCCUUAGUUACCAGCACGUUAUGGUGGGCACUCUAAGGAGACUGCCGGUGACAAACCGGAGGAAGGUGGGGAUGACGUCAAGUCAUCAUGGCCCUUACGGCCUGGGCUACACACGUGCUACAAUGGUCGGUACAAAGGGUUGCCAAGCCGCGAGGUGGAGCUAAUCCCAUAAAACCGAUCGUAGUCCGGAUCGCAGUCUGCAACUCGACUGCGUGAAGUCGGAAUCGCUAGUAAUCGUGAAUCAGAAUGUCACGGUGAAUACGUUCCCGGGCCUU
rnacentral:rRNA from 1 species